rnacentral:rRNA from 1 species
GACGAACGCUGGCGGCGUGCUUAACACAUGCAAGUCGAGCGGUAAGGCCCUUUCGGGGUACGACGAGCGGCGAACGGGUGAGUAACACGUGGGUGACCUGCCCUCCAGCUCUGGGAUAAGCCUGGGAAACUGGGUCGUAAUACCGGAUAUGACUCCACGACGCAUGUUGUGGGGUGGAAAGCCUUGUGCGGCUGAGGAUGGGCCCGGCGGCCUAUCAGCUUGUUGGUGGGGUGAUGGCCUACCAAGGCGACGACGGGUAGCCGGCCUGAGAGGGCGACCGGCCACACUGGGACUGAGACACGGCCCAGACUCCUACGGGAGGGCAGCAGUGGGGAAGUCUUGCGCAAUGGGCGAAAGCCUGACGCAGCGACGCCGCGUGAGGGAUGACGGCC